AUACGGAGGGGGUUAGCGUUGUUCGGAAUUACUGGGCGUAAAGCGUACGUAGGCGGAUUGGAAAGUAUGGGGUGAAAUCCCAGGGCUCAACCCUGGAACUGCCUCAUAAACUCCCAGUCUAGAGUUCGAGAGAGGUGAGUGGAAUUCCGAGUGUAGAGGUGAAAUUCGUAGAUAUUCGGAGGAACACCAGUGGCGAAGGCGGCUCACUGGCUCGAUACUGACGCUGAGGUACGAAAGUGUGGGGAGCAAACAGGAUUAGAAACCCUUGUAGUCC
rnacentral:rRNA from 1 species